rnacentral:rRNA from 1 species
GAUCAUGCUCAGGACGAACGCUGGCGGCGCGCCUAACACAUGCAAGUCGAACGAGCGAGAGAGAGCUUGCUUUCUCAAGCGAGUGGCGAACGGGUGAGUAACGCGUGAGGAACCUGCCUCAAAGAGGGGGACAACAGUUGGAAACGACUGCUAAUACCGCAUAAGCCCACGACCCGGCAUCGGGUAGAGGGAAAAGGAGCAAUCCGCUUUGAGAUGGCCUCGCGUCCGAUUAGCUAGUUGG